UACGAAGGGGGCUAGCGUUGCUCGGAAUCACUGGGCGUAAAGCGCACGUAGGCGGGUCCUUAAGUCGGGGGUGAAAUCCUGGAGCUCAACUCCAGAACUGCCUUCGAUACUGGAAGACUUGAGUCCGGGAGAGGUGAGUGGAACUGCGAGUGUAGAGGUGAAAUUCGUAGAUAUUCGCAAGAACACCAGUGGCGAAGGCGGCUCACUGGCCCGGUACUGACGCUGAGGUGCGAAAGCGUGGGGAGCAAACAGG
rnacentral:rRNA from 1 species